rnacentral:rRNA from 1 species
CCCUUAGAUGUUCUGGGCGGCCCGCGCACUACAAUGGCGUGUACAGCGAGCGCCGAAGUAGAGUUUUCCGAGGUAUUCUUGCAAUGCUCGUUUUGAUGGGGAUAGACCCUUGCAACUGUUGGUUUUGAACGAGGAAUUCCUUGUAAGCAUGGUUUAUCAUCCGACGCUGAAUGCGUCCCUGCCCUUUGUACACACCGCCCGUCGCUCCUACCGAUUGAGUGGUCCGGUGAGGCUUUGGGAUCUGAGCGGAAAGAGCGUUUCGCUGUUUCUGCUCGGAAAACUCAGUCGAACCUUAUCAUUUAGAGGAAGGAGAAGUCGUAACA